UUCGUGAUUUGUGCUAUAUUA
rnacentral:siRNA from 1 species